UACGUAGGCAGCGAGCGUUGUUCGGAAUUACGUGGCGUAAAGGGCUCGUAGGCGGCCAACUAAGUCAGACGUGAAAUCCCUCGGCUUAACCGGGGAACUGCGUCUGAUACUGGAUGGCUUGAGUUUGGGAGAGGGAUGCGGAAUUCCAGGUGUAGCGGUGAAAUGCGCAGAUAUCGGGAGGAACACCGGUGGCGAAGGCGGUUCUCUGGGCCUUACCUGACGCUGAGGAGCGAAAGCGUGGGGAGCGAACAGG
rnacentral:rRNA from 1 species